ensembl:lncRNA
GGAAAUCUGAGCUGCUGAUCAUCACAGUUGUGCUCAAAGGUCCAGGAGUCACAGUGAAUGUCUCAGAAGAAAGUGAUGUCAUCUUACCCUGCUCCCUCGGCACCAAUCAGAACCUUGAACAGAAGCUGUUUGAUUGGAGGAAAAAAGCACCAACUAAACAGGAGGUGUUCAUGUAUGAUGGAGGCCUUCAUUACAAUAAUGGACGUCGAGGUCAAGACGAGCACUUCAGAGGACGGGUCUCACAUUUUCCACAAGAGCUGCAGUUUGGUAACGCCUCCAUCAUCAUCAGAAACACCACGGUGGCUGACAGUGGAGUCUACACCUGUGAUUUUCCACGUCUGCAGCCACAACAAAGAUUCUGCAUUAAACUUGUUGUUGAACUGACCUUGAAAGAUCGAUCAGGAGAAAUCCCAGGUGAGUGAUGAUGUCACUGAUGUGUGCAUCUGUAACCUGUGUGAGCGGUUUGAAACUUGCCCCUGUUAUUUUCUGACAUCCCUUAACUUUUCAACCUGCGGUAUCCACCUUGACGGUGCCGACAUAUAUUUCACUUUUCAUCAUUUUUCAUCAUUUCAACUUUUUACUUCUGCACAACUUACACACACUAACAAGUCUAUCCUUCAGCUUUAACACUAAAGAAUAACAGAACAAACUCCUCUAAGAGCUAUAACCCAAAACAAAGCAGAAAGCAACAGAUCCCACUUAGCGCACACUCUCUCACCGCUCAGCAGUCAUCACCCCAAACACAGGUCAAGACAGAUAACGUCUUUACACAUGCAGCAGCUCCCACUCACAGCCACACACACACUUCCACACCAUGGUUUCACAGCAAAGUUACACAUAGAUCCCAGCAUUAAACUCUGCUCCUUCACUUUCUCCCAUAUUAAUAAUUUUAACAAUGUAACAUUUUUAACUAUCCAAUUACAAAGGACACAUUUAAUGUUCUUUUUCAAGGCGAGGUGAAAAUGUACCUUGAACCCGGGCAGAAUCCCCUCAGACAGCACCAAUUAUUUUAUGCAGAAAAAAGCUCUGCUUACCUUAUCUUAUGCGGCCGCUUGGUGCUCUCUGGGUGCGCCGAGUGGCAACAACACCCAAGAUCCACAGCUGACGCCUCCAACUCCUUGUCCCUUCGUUCGGUCGCCAAAUUGUGGUUGUCCCUUCGUUCGAUCUCCAAAUUGUGGUUGUCACAAUUGAGAGCAAUUCUUCAGAUUAGCAGUAGGUGGACCUCAGC